UCUCCGUUGGUGAACCAGCGGAGGGAUCAUUAAUGAGUUGCAAAACUCCCUCAAACCAUCGUGAACGUACCUCUGAACAUUGCUUCCGCCAUUCGCUCACGCCCCCGCUCCACUCGCCAAACGCUUGCCGGAGGUAACUUAACUCUUGUUUUUUACCGCCUCCUUGAUGAUUUGUUCUUAAUAAGUCAAAACUUUCAACAACGGAUCUCUUGGUUCUG
rnacentral:misc_RNA from 1 species